AUACCUGGAGGGGGGAUACCAUGAUCACAAAGGUGGAUCUCCCAGGGAGAGGAUCAGCCAUUGCACUCCGGCUGUCCUGAUCCCUGCGAUUUCCCCAAAUGCGGGAAACUUAAUGCAAUUUGUGGUAGUGGGGAACUGCAUUUGCACUUUACCCUG